rnacentral:piRNA from 1 species
UUUGAUGAGAUUUUGGAGGCCAGUGAUGGG